GCGGCCACUGCUAUCAAGUUCCGACUAAGCCAUGCGAGUCAAGGUAUCGUAAGAUGCCGGCAAACUGCUCAGUAACACGUGGAUAAUCUAACCUUGAGUAAGGGAUAACUUCGGGAAACUGAAGGUAAUACCUUAUAAUUGCUUAAAACUGGAAUGUUUUUGCAAUAAAAGUUACGACGCUCAAGGAUGAGUCUGCGACCUAUCAGGUAGUAGGUGGUGUAAUGGACCACCUAGCCUCAGACGGGUACGGGCCCUGGGAGGGGUAGCCCGGAGAUGGACUCUGAGACAUAAGUCCAGGCCCUACGGGGCGCAGCAGGCGCGGACACUGUGCAAUGCGCGAAAGCGCGACACGGGGAGCUUGAGUGUCUUGGCAUAGCCAAGACUUUUCUCAUUCCUAAAAAGCAUGAGGAAUAAGUGCUGGGUAAGACGGGUGCCAGCCGCCGCGGUAACACCCGCAGCACGAGUAGUGGUCACUUUUAUUGAGCCUAAAGCGUUCGUAGCCGGUUUUGUAAAUCUUCAGAUAAAGCCUGAAGCUUAACUCCAGAAAGUCUGAAGAGACUGCAAGACUUGAGAUCGGGUGAGGUUAAACGUACUUUCAGGGUAGGGGUAAAAUCCUGUAAUCCCGGAAGGACGACCAGUGGCGAAAGCGUUUAACUAGAACGAAUCUGACGGUAAGGAACGAAGGCUAGGGUAGCAAACCGGAUUAGAUACCCGGGUAGUCCUAGCUGUAAACAUUGCCCAUUUGAUGUUGCUUUUCCGUUGAGGGAAGGCAGUGUCGGAGCGAAGGUGUUAAAUGGGCCGCUUGGGAAGUAUGGUCGCAAGACUGAAACUUAA
rnacentral:rRNA from 1 species